GUGAGUCAUCGAAUCUUUGAACGCACCUUGCACUCCUUGGUAUUCCGAGGAGUAUGCCUGUUUGAGUGUCAUUAAAUUCUCAAGCUUCAACCUUGUUGUAAUGACUUGGUUUGUUGUUUGGACUUGAGGGUUGCCGCGAGUUCUUGGACUUUUGAACGGCUCCCUUUAAAUGCAUUAGUGGUGACUUGGAUCCACUAUCAAAUGUGUUGAUAGUUAUCUACACUUUGAAGUGACCGAUUGUCUUUCCGCUCCUAAACUGUCCCUUGGGACAAUAUCUUGAAAUUUGACCUCAAAUCAGGU
rnacentral:misc_RNA from 1 species